rnacentral:rRNA from 1 species
UGGCGAACGGGUGAGUAACACGUGGGUGAUCUGCCUUGCACUCUGGGAUAAGCUUGGGAAACUGGGUCUAAUACCGGAUAGGAACCGUCUUUAGUGUGGUGGUUGGAAAGUUUUUUCGGUGCAAGAUGAGCUCGCGGCCUAUCAGCUUGUUGGUGGGGUAAUGGCCUACCAAGGCGUCGACGGGUAGCCGGCCUGAGAGGGUGUACGGCCACAUUGUGACUGAGAUACGGCCCAG